GGUUCUGAGAGCCAGAUGAUGAUCUUUUGGUCAGCGAUACCCGAUUCACCGAUUGUCGGUGAUGACUGAUGGCUUGGACGCUUGGACGCCUAGUCAUAAGUUAGGUUAUGUUUGUUUGUUUGAUGUUUGACAUUUGCUUUGCAUUUCACGAUUUCACCGUCGCUACUCACCUUCAUUACAACUCAUAGAGGACGUCCCCACACACUGCAGCGGUGGCGGUAAAAUUCUUUUGUCUUGGCGGUCGCGGUAAAUUGUGUCCGCCGUCCGGACUCAUUUUAUCGCCACCGCCACCGCUGCGGUGUGUGGGGACCUUAAGUCACAGAAUAAAAUAUAAAUUAUAGUUAAUUUCAUAUUUUCGUUUAUCGAUUACCCAAAAACUUCUCUGCAAUAGUAAAAAAGUAACAACUGUAAUUAUUCAUCGAAGUCGUGACUUAUGACCGUGGGCAGUGUCGGUCGUCUGGUGUUUUUCUCGUUGGCAUGUACUGAUAGUACAAAUAUCCAAGUUGUUGAAGAUUUCAUCUAUAAAAUAUGGACCAAAAAUAAAUUACCGUAGAAUGCUGAUUAUCCGGAAAAUUUAUUGAUGGCGUGGAUUUUCCCAUUACAUUAAUAUCUAGAUAAUUAAAAUAAAGCACCUUAAAAGUUGAACAUUUAGUAUAUGUUAUAAUGACUGACAAACUAAUACGAAGGUUAGACAUCUCCUGACUAACUGAAAAAUACAUACUGAAGCUGCGGUGAUUAUCGAUAAUCAGCAUUCAAUUUUAAUAUUUUAUAAAAUAAUUUGUACACAUAAAUAUAUACUAAAACUGCUAAUAUAUAAUCUACAAGUAUGAUUAUGUGGAAUGACAAAAUACGAUUACAAGUUAUUGAGCCCGGUGGAUUGAUAUUCAGAUAAUUGUUAUUCUGCUGUACUUAAAUGUGUACAUCAAACAAGAAAAUAAUGUCCUACAAAAACAUAUUGAUGAGCCAACCGAAUUGCGGUUAGAUUAUGAUGGUAACUGAUGAUGGAUUAUGAUUGCCAAUGGUACCAGCAUGUUUCUAUAUACACUACAGAAAAUGAAGAUCAAAUAAAAAUUGGAGUGUAAAUAAUUGAUUAUACUAUGAUACUAUUUUAUUACAUAAAUGAAAACAAUUAUGUCCCAUCAUUUGCAUCUGUGAUAAUUGUAUGCAAUGCAGUCAAAAAUUGAAAACAAUCUUAAGAAUAACAAUCGUCUAGCAUCAACAAGUUACAACUAAACACAAGGUGAGAACAUCUAAAAAAGUAUACAAUUUGCGUUUACUGUUGGUUAUAAAUUCUUACUCAAAAUUCAAAAUUCUGUCUUACUAAUUUUGAAAAGUCAUACAAUCAUGCAUCUGUAUCGAACCAUAUUAUUCUAAAGCAGCGACUUAAAUUUAACCCUGUAGUUGUAUUCAUUACAAACAAAACAUUUGUAUGGUGUUUCUCUAAUUUUAAUUUAUGAAUUAAAUAUACAUUUUUCUAAGUUAUCAAAAUUGGUCCUUAGCAUUUAUACUGGAGAAAUACAUAAAAAAUAAUCUGUGUUUUGAAUCUUUUUCUCAAACACUGAUUGGUGAAAGAAGAGCGGUAUUCCUACGGCUAAUAAUUCAUUGAAUCCCAGAUGCUAUAAAAAACAUAAAUCACAUAUUCACAAUAAAUAAUUCUCUCAAGGUUAGGCUUUUCAAUCAUAAUUCUAUGCAGUACUAUUUAUUACGAAUAAAACAUUUGUAUGGUUUUUCCCCCGUGUGAAUAUUGGUGUUGUUAAUGUAAGUUUUGCUAAGUUAUCAAAACUCAUAAGAACUUAUACUGGAGAACAACCAUACAUAUGAGUUGCUGGUAAUUAUUUUUCGCUCGACCAUCAACCUAAAUCCUAAAGUAAUAUUCAUAGCCUUUUAAUAAAUCAGAAACCAAAAAGAUAUUUAUAGUAAAUAAUUGUCCCAAGCACCAUCUUAAAGUCAACAUAAUACUUACUAUUUGUUAAAGAAACAUUCAUAUUGCCUUUCUCUGGUAUUAACUUUUCAAUCUUGAUGUAAGUAUUGCUAGAUUAUCAAAACUCCCAUAAGAACUUAUACCAAAGAAUAGCCAUGUAGAUGAGUUGUUUAUAACUAAUUUAAUGAACUAUAAACUUACAGCCAACAGUAGUAUUCAUGGCACUUCAUUUGAAAAUAAAAAUGUUUGAAAAACAUUUAAAACAUAUAUUUUUAAUAAAUAAUUUUCUCGAGAAUCAAUCUUAAGUCUACACAGUAUUAUUCAUACAAAAUUUGUAUGGUUUUUCCCUCAUGUGAAAUUUGUAUUCUUAAAGUAAGUCUUGCUAGGUUAUCUAAACUUCCAUUAGAAUGUAUACGGGAGAACAACCAUACAUAUGAAUUGUUGGUAAUCAUUUUUUUCUCUUCUCUACCAUCAACUUAAGGCCAACUUAGUAUUAUUCAUUUUAAAUGGUUAUUCCCCGUUGUUAAAAUUUGAUUUUAAUGUGAGUUUUGCUAGGUUAUCAAAUGUCUUAUUAAAAUGUAUAAUGGUGUAGAUACCUGCAGAUGAUUUGUUGUUAAUAAAUCACUUCUGAGCCUUAAAGGUGUAUCUACUACUAGUAUUCAUAUCCCUUAAUUUAAUCUCACCAAAAAUGUUUGAAAACCUUUUAAUUUUAUUUUCCCGAAAUAUAUCAUUUGAAAUCGAGAGUGUAUAAUUUAUAUGGCUUUUCUCCUUUAUGAAUGUUUGAUUUUAAUGUGAGAUAUGCUAGGUUAUCAAAUUUCUCAUUGAAAUGUAUAGCUGAGAAUAGCCAUGUAAAUGUUGUGUUGUUAGUAAAUCUCCUCUAAAUCUUAAACUUAUACUUAACACAGUAGUUUUCAUAUCUCUUAAUUAAAUCAAUCAAUAAUGUCUGAAAAACAUUAAAUUAUAUUAUUUCAAUUGCAGAAUUUUUUCAAGCAUCAACUUAAUAUUUUAACAUUUAAGUAAACAUAGUACAAAUUAAUUUAUUAUGAAGAAAAUAUUUGUAUGGUUUUUCUCCCGUGUAUGUUAGAUUUUAAUGUAAGUUUUGCUAGGAUAUCAAAACUUCUAUUGAGAUUUAUACGGGAGAAUCACCAUACAAAUAAGUUCUCGAUAAUAACUAUUUUUCUCAAGCAUCAACUUUAAAUCAAUAGAGGUGCAUUCUGAAUUCAUUGAAUCAUUUUUCUUUUAAACGUUAAAAAUGAGUGUGUAGGAUAUUUUCUCACAUGUUUUUUUCCAAUUCAACACAGUUGUCAUUGCAAAUAAAUCAUUUAUAUAGUUUUUCUUCAGUAUGAUGUAUUCUUAAAGAGUGCUUUGCUAUGUUAUAGACCUUUUAUUAUGAUCCAUAUUAUGUUAGAAUAACCAUUACAAAUGAAUUGUUGGUAUUAAAUUAAAUUCCAACAUCUACUAUACAGAAGUAUUUAUUAAGUUUAUAAUCGAUU